rnacentral:rRNA from 1 species
UACGUAGGCAGCAAGCGUUGUUCGGAAUUACUGGGCGUAAAGCGCACGUAGGCGGCUUCUUAAGUCGGUGGUGAAAUCCUGGAGCUCAACUCCAGAACUGCCUUCGAUACUGGGAAGCUCGAGUCCGGGAGAGGUGAGUGGAACUGCGAGUGUAGAGGUGAAAUUCGUAGAUAUUCGCAAGAACACCAGUGGCGAAGGCGGCUCACUGGCCCGGUACUGACGCUGAGGUGCGAAAGCGUGGGGAGCAAACAGG